rnacentral:rRNA from 1 species
GAUGAACGCUGGCGGCGUGCCUAAUACAUGCAAGUCGAGCGAACGGACGAGAAGCUUGCCUCUCUGAUGUUAUCGGCGGACGGGUGAGUAACACGUGGAUAACCUACCUAUAAGACUGGGAUAACUUCGGGAAACCGGAGCUAAUACCGGAUAAUAUUUUGAACCGCAUGGUUCAAAAGUGAAAGACGGUCUUGCUGUCACUUAUAGAUGGAUCCGCGCUGCAUUAGCUAGUUGGUAAGGUAACGGCUUACCAAGGCAACGAUGCAUAGCCGACCUGAGAGGGUGAUCGGCCACACUGGAACUGAGACACGGUCCAGACUCCUACGGGAGGCAGCAGUAGGGAAUCUUCCGCAAUGGGCGAAAGCCUGACGGAGCAACGCCGCGUGAGUGAUGAAGGUCUUCGGAUCGUAAAACUCUGUUAUUAGGGAAGAACAUAUGUGUAAGUAACUGCGCACAUCUUGACGGUACCUAAUCAGAAAGCCACGGCUAACUACGUG